rnacentral:rRNA from 1 species
AUGCCCACUGGUUGCCAUCCCCGUCCCUUCCAAGGUGCUCCCCUCCGCGUCUUAGCCCGAGGUGCUACACAAGAGACGCCCUACGUAUGGAGACGCCCUAUAGAAGAGACGCCCUACGCGCGACGAACGACGGUUAGGCAGCGGGCUGCUGGCGCCGCACCGGUCUACGAUGGCCAGCGAUGGCUCAGGAAUGUGUGCACCUCAUUAAUACUGCUCAAGUAUCUGAGCCUAAGGAACACAGAUGUCACUCAGCUGCCCAAGGAGAUCAACAUGCUCCAGCAGCUGGAGGUGUUGGACAUCCGGCACACUCCUGUGAAUGCCUGCGCCACAAAACUGCUCAUGCUACUGAAGCUAAAGCGUCUGCUGGGUGGACGUCACACCGACACUGGUGGUGGUGAUGCUAGCAUACUUUCCACUGUCCAGAUGCCUCACAAGGUCAGAAAAAUGAUGGACCUGGAAGUGUUGUCCCAUGUACAGGCUUCGAAACAUCAUGCUACAGAGCUGAGAGAGAUUGGCCAGCUAUGGCAACUAAGGGUUCUUGGUGUGAUCAUUUAUGAUUGGAAAGCUCAACUUGAGAACUUACUCCAAGGAAUUAGCGAUCUGAAUGAGUGCCUUUGGUCUUUGUCGAUCGAGAUCAAGCCUCCGCCUACCAGGCAGGCUGCUGCUCCUCCUGACGUACCUGCAGCCGAUGCUAUCAGUGCACACUGUAAAAACACACCCAAGCUUCUUGAAAGCCUGAGAAUCAGUGGAGUCACGGUGUAUGGGCAUCUUCUCCCAUUGUUCGCAAGAGGCAGCCACAAACUUGCUGAGGUAAGUCUUCAUAACACCUCGUUAGACCACAAUGAUAUGGAAUCCCUCGCAGAUCUGCCCAACCUACGCGGCCUCAGGCUCCAGCAUGUUAAUUUACACACUGAGGGCAAGCUUAUAAUCCAGACCAAUGGGUUCCAAAAUCUCAAGUAUCUUGUCGUUGAGGGGGGCGGCAUCACCGACAUCAACUUCGAACUUGGAGAAGCUCCUAAGCUUGAAAACAUCACCUGGCUCAUCGACGGUAUAGUGUCUCUGUCGGGAAUCAACAACCUUCCCAAGUUGAAGGAAAUGGUGUUCAAUGAUGGUGUCAAGCUACCAGAUCAGGUGAUACAAGCCAUAGAAGCACAUCCAAACUUCAUUGAUACUAAUGGAAUAUGGGAAUUAUGCUAA